UAUAAUCUGUGAUAUAACAGCGAUGAGAUGGUGAUGAUUAGGAAUAUAGAAGUCUUGUGAACUCUUACGCCAAUCUGGUGGUUAAGUCUUUCCUUGUGCUCUUGCGCCAAAUUUGGUGAAGUCUUUCCUUAAGUCUGGUAAAAUCUGCUGAAGUCUUGCCUCAAGUCUGAGCAAGGAUGUUAAACUGGAAGGUGGAUCUCUUUUGUUCGAUAUAUAGUGCUCCUUGUGUUCAUGUUACCUUUAUUAUCAUUGCUAUUUGAUGCUUCACAAUCACAAUACGGGCAAGCCUUUUUAUUUUAUGCCAGCUCUAUUUUUAUUUGCUAUGGAUGUUCUACUUUUUUCCUUUUCGACGACAUUUUUCAUUUCAGGCUUCCUACGAAUUCCGGUAAUGGUUUGUAUAUUAUAUAUGCUACUAACCUGGGAUCAGUAGUUCUGUGGAUAAGAUGGACAGUAGAUUGCUAUAUCAAUAUGUCUUUCACAACCAGAUACCUUGCUGUUAGGGAUAAUGCAGCAGGUGCUACCGCAAGGAUGAUUGUUGUUCAUCCU